AGGGAAAGUUGCAAAGAACUUUGAAGAGAGAGUUCAAGAGUACGUGAAACUGCUCAGAGGCAAACGGGUGGGCCCUCGAAAUCCCGCUGCGGGGGGAUUCAGUCGGAAGGCCAGGAAGCGCCGCCGGAGGCGGACGGAACGCACCGUCGCCACCGGGGAGCGCCAGUGCCGCCCGACGCACUUCCUCCCGCACAGAGGACGCCGCAGCCGGUCGGGUAGCAGCGAGAGUCGGCCAUGAGGACCGGCGACGGCAGGUGGCGGGGCGACCGCCCAGGCGGAUCUCCCGUCGUUAGCCAGUCGGUUCCGAGGCGCGACACCCGACCGAGGAGAGGGAGCCCCCCCGGGGGCUCCGGCCGUGCACUCGCAUCGUACAGUGCGAGCGGGCCAGCAGGGCAGGAGAGGUCCUCCGCGGACUUGAACCACCCAGAAGCGGUGGCUCGUCCCGGAGUCUCCACGUUAGCCUCGCGGCACCGCAGCGAGCGCGAUACGGCUGGCGGCGAGUAGGUCGGUCACCCACCCGUCCCGUCUUGAAACACGGACCAAGGAGUCUAACAUGUGCGCGAGUCACGGGGUCUUGAACAGGCCCACGGGCGCAAUGAAAGUGAAGGUCGGGACCCAGUCCCGUCCGAGUUGGGAUCCCCGGUUCCGGCCGGGGCGCACCAACAGCCCGUGCCGUCCGAUCUGAUCGGUGGCCCGGAGUCGGAGCGUACACGUUGGGACCCGAAAGAUGGUGAACUAUGCCCGGGCAGGUCGAAGUCAGAGGAAACUCUGGUGGAGGACCGCAGCGGUUCUGACGUGCAAAUCGAUCGUCAGACCUAGG
rnacentral:rRNA from 1 species